rnacentral:rRNA from 1 species
UACGGAGGGUGCAAGCGUUAUCCGGAUUCACUGGGUUUAAAGGGUGCGUAGGCGGAUAUGUAAGUCCGUGGUGAAAUCUCUGGGCUUAACCCGGAAACUGCCAUGGAUACUAUGUGUCUUGAAUGUUGUUGAGGUGAGCGGAAUAUGUCAUGUAGCGGUGAAAUGCUUAGAUAUGACAUAGAACACCAAAUUGCGAAGGCAGCUCACUAAGCAAAUAUUGACGCUGAGGCACGAAAGCGUGGGGAUCAAAACAGGA